rnacentral:rRNA from 1 species
AUUGAACGCUGGCGGCAGGCCUAACACAUGCAAGUCGAACGGUAACAGAAAGCAGCUUGCUGCCUUGCUGACGAGUGGCGGACGGGUGAGUAAUGUCUGGGAAACUGCCUGAUGGAGGGGGAUAACUACUGGAAACGGUAGCUAAUACCGCAUAACGUCGCAAGACCAAAGAGGGGGACCUUCGGGCCUCUUGCCAUCGGAUGUGCCCAGAUGGGAUUAGCUUGUUGGUGGGGUAACGGCUCACCAAGGCGACGACCCCUAGCUGGUCUGAGAGGAUGACACGCCCCACUGGAACAGAGAGACGGGCCAGACACCCACGGGGGGCGGCAGUGGGGAAUAUUGCACAGAGGGGGCAAGACUGAUGCAGCGAUGCCGCGGGGAUGAAAAAGGCCCUUGGGGUGUAAAGUUCUUUUAGCGGGGGGGAAGGGGGUAAAGUUUAUACCUUUGUGCAUUGAGGUUUCCCCCAGAAAAAACACCCGGUAACACCGG